UAUUGGACAAUGGGGGGAACCCUGAUCCAGCGACGCCGCGUGAGUGAAGAAGUAUUUCGGUAUGUAAAGCUCUAUCAGCAGGGACGAAGGAAAUGACGGUACCUGACUAAGAAGCCCCGGAUAACUACGUGCCAGCCGCCGCGGGAAUAAGUAGGGGGCAAGCGUUAUCCGGAUUUACUGGGGGUAAAGGGAGCGUAGACGGCGAUGCAAGUCUGAAGUGAAAGGCGGGGGCCCAACCCCCGGACUGCUUUGGAAACUGUAUGGCUGGAGUGCAGGAGAGGUAAGUGGAAUUCCUAGUGUAGCGGUGAAAUGCGUAGAUAUUAGGAGGAACACCAGUGGCGAAGGCGGCUUACUGGACUGUAACUGACGUUGAGGCUCGAAAGCGUGGGGAGCAAACAG
rnacentral:rRNA from 1 species